GGUUGAACCGUGCAGAUACCUUUUCGAAACAAAAGGUUUUCCUACCUGCUUAUACUUGGUAACCGAGGGAAUUACUAAGACUUCUUGCUCAUUUCUGAGUAUUGUCUUUAUAUCCUGACACUAUGAAUGCUACUUGGAUGCCUCUUAAGUCUGUUCUCUGGGGAGGCAGUAAGGGGCCGUGGAGCUGGCCUCGGCCUCGGCAUCGGGAGAGGCUGGACUUCCUGUCUCUCUGUGCUGAAUGGCUGCGAUGGCGCCCGCUCUCACUGACGCAGCAGCUGAAGCACACCAUAUCCGGUUCAAACUGGCUCCCCCAUCCUCUACCUUGUCCCCUGGCAGUGCCGAAAAUAACGGCAACGCCAACAUCCUUAUUGCUGCCAACGGAACCAAAAGAAAAGCCAUUGCUGCAGAGGAUCCCAGCCUAGAUUUCCGAAAUAAUCCUACCAAGGAAGACUUGGGAAAGCUGCAACCACUGGUGGCAUCUUAUCUCUGCUCUGAUGUAACAUCUGUUCCCUCAAAGGAGUCUUUGAAGUUGCAAGGGGUCUUCAGCAAGCAGACAGUCCUUAAAUCUCAUCCUCUCUUAUCUCAGUCCUAUGAACUCCGAGCUGAGCUGUUGGGGAGACAGCCAGUUUUGGAGUUUUCCUUAGAAAAUCUUAGAACCAUGAAUACGAGUGGUCAGACAGCUCUGCCAAAAGCACCUGUAAAUGGGUUGGCUAAGAAAUUGACUAAAAGUUCAACACAUUCUGAUCAUGACAAUUCCACUUCCCUCAAUGAGGGAAAACGGGCUCUCACUUCAUCUGCUCUUCAUGGGGGUGAAAUGGGAGGAUCUGAAUCUGGGGACUUGAAGGGGGGUAUGACCAAUUGCACUCUUCCACAUAGAAGCCUUGAUGUAGAACACACAACUUUGUAUAGCAAUAAUAGCACUGCAAACAAAUCUUCUGUCAAUUCCAUGGAACAGCCGGCACUUCAAGGAAGCAGUAGGUUAUCACCUGGUACAGACUCCAGCUCUAACUUGGGGGGUGUCAAAUUAGAGGGUAAAAAGUCUCCCCUGUCUUCCAUACUUUUCAGUGCUUUAGAUUCUGACACAAGGAUAACAGCUUUACUGCGGCGACAGGCUGACAUUGAGAGCCGUGCCCGCAGAUUACAAAAGCGCUUACAGGUUGUGCAAGCCAAGCAGGUUGAGAGGCAUAUACAACAUCAGCUGGGUGGAUUUUUGGAGAAGACUUUGAGCAAACUGCCAAACUUGGAAUCCUUGAGACCACGGAGCCAGUUGAUGCUGACUCGAAAGGCUGAAGCUGCCUUGAGAAAAGCUGCCAGUGAGACCACCACUUCAGAGGGACUUAGCAACUUUCUGAAAAGCAAUUCAAUUUCAGAAGAAUUGGAGAGAUUUACAGCUAGUGGCAUAGCCAACUUGAGGUGCAGUGAACAGGCAUUUGAUUCAGAUGUCACUGACAGUAGUUCAGGAGGGGAGUCUGAUAUUGAAGAGGAAGAACUGACCAGAGCUGAUCCCGAGCAGCGCCAUGUACCCCUGAGACGCAGGUCAGAAUGGAAAUGGGCUGCAGAUCGGGCAGCUAUUGUCAGCCGCUGGAACUGGCUUCAGGCUCAUGUUUCUGACUUGGAAUAUCGAAUUCGUCAGCAAACAGACAUUUACAAACAGAUACGUGCUAAUAAGGGGUUGAUAGUUCUUGGGGAGGUACCUCCCCCAGAGCAUACAACAGACUUAUUUCUUCCACUUAGUUCUGAGGUGAAGACAGAUCAUGGGACUGAUAAAUUGAUUGAGUCUGUUUCUCAGCCAUUGGAAAACCAUGGUGCCCCUAUUAUUGGUCAUAUUUCAGAGUCACUGUCUACCAAAUCAUGUGGAGCACUCAGACCUGUCAAUGGAGUUAUUAACACUCUUCAGCCUGUCUUGGCAGACCACAUUCCAGGUGACAGCUCUGAUGCUGAGGAACAAUUACAUAAGAAGCAACGACUGAAUCUCGUCUCUUCGUCAUCUGAUGGCACCUGUGUGGCAGCCCGGACACGUCCUGUACUGAGCUGUAAGAAACGGAGGCUUGUUCGACCCAACAGCAUCGUUCCUCUUUCCAAGAAGGUUCACCGGAACAGCACAAUCCGCCCUGGCUGUGAUGUGAAUCCCUCCUGUGCACUGUGUGGUUCAGGCAGCAUCAACACCAUGCCUCCCGAAAUUCACUAUGAAGCCCCUCUGUUGGAACGUCUUUCCCAGUUGGACUCUUGUGUUCACCCUGUUCUAGCAUUUCCAGAUGGUAAGAAAGACCACAGACUAGAAAGUCUAAUGAAAGAGACUUGAGAGACUUCUAGGUGAAAGAAAAUCAGCCAAGGUCCAGUUACAACUCAGAUACUUUCAAGGUACAACUUUCGUCAACCAAGUCUUCUCUUAGAAUUUUGCAAAAAGACUGCAGCAGAUCCACCAAAUCAGAAGGUGCCACUAAAAGGUUGCAACUUAAUAUGAGAUUUCCUUCUAACUCUUCAAGUAGCUAGGAGGGAACUGGGCUCAGUUGCCUCUAGCCACAGUAAUCUGGUCCAAAAUACGCUUAGUAUGUCUUUAGAAAUGUUUUGUCUGGGCCAGGUGUGGUGGCUCACACCUGUAAUCCCAGCACUUUGGUAGGCUGAGGUGGGCGGAUCACCUGAGGUCAGGAGUUCUAGACCAGCCUGACCAACGUGGUGAAACCACUGUCUCUACUAAAUACAAAAAAUUAGCCAGUCGUGGUUGUGCUUGCCUGUAAUCCCAGCUACUUGGGAGGCUAAGGCAGGAGAAUUGCUUGAACCUGGGAGGCAGAGGUUGCAGUGAGCCAAGAUUGCACGAUUGCACUCUAGCCUGGAUAACAGAGCAAGACUCCGUCUCAAAAAAAAAAAAAAAAAAAAAAGUUUUGUCUGUGCGUGCCAUGAUAUAAUGUAGGAUGGACGGCAGUGUUCUAGGAGAAUAUCUUCAUACUGGCAUUUAUGUGGUAACGUGACAGCUUUGCAGGGUGUAGAUAAGCACAAAUCUUCGUUGUUAGCUUGUACUGUCUUUCUAAAGUUUGCCUUCCUGUUAAAUCUCUGUGUCUGACAGCCCUCCUUUCCCAUCUCCCUUCCCAUACCUGUACCUCUCCCACUUGACAAAAGAAGAGCAUUCCUUUUGGCCAUAUUGAGUCCCACUAUGGGUCUUGCCCCAGAGUGUAAAAAUCUUGAGGCUGGGUGUCGUGGCCCACGUCUUUAAUCCCGUCACUUUGGGAGACCGAGGCAGGCAGAUCACUUGAGGUCAGGAGUUCGAGACCAGGUGCAGUGGCUCACACUUGUAAUCCCAGCAUUUUGGGAGGCCAAGACGGGCGGAUCAUGAGGUCAGGAGUUGAAGACCAGCCUGGCCAACAUAGUGAAACCCCAUCUCUACUAAAAAUACAAAAAUUAG
rnacentral:sRNA from 1 species